UACGUAGGGGGCAAGCGUUGUCCGGAUUUAUUGGGCGUAAAGAGCGUGUAGGCGGCUUGGUAGGUCCGCUGUGAAAACUCGAGGCUCAACCUCGAGAUGUCGGCGGAAACCACUUGGCUAGAGUCCGGAAGAGGAGAGUGGAAUUCCCGGUGUAGCGGUGAAAUGCGCAGAUAUCGGGAAGAACACCUAUGGCGAAGGCAGCUCUCUGGGACGGUACUGACGCUGAGACGCGAAAGCGUGGGGAGCGAACAGGAUUAGAUACCCUGGUAGUCCACGCCGUAAACGAUGGGUGCUAGGUGUGGGCGGUGUCGACUCCGUCCGUGCCGAAGCUAACGCAUUAAGCACCCCGCCUGGGGAGUACGGCCGCAAGGCUAAA
rnacentral:rRNA from 1 species